GUGAUGGAUUACAUUUAUAGACUUGCAUAUGUUGAACCAGCGUUGCAUCUCUGGGAUGAAGCCUACUUGGUCAUGAUGAAUAAGGUUUUUGAUUUGCUGUUGCAUUCUGUUUGCCAGUAUUUUAUUGAAGACUUUUGCAUCAAUGGUUAUCAAGGAUAUUGGCCUGAAGUUUUCUUUUUUGUUGUUUUUUUUUUUUUAUACUUUUUCUUUUAUCUUGGAAGAGGAACAGGCACAAGGCUCAUCAGAAGACUGUACAGAGAAAAGAGUGGGUGACCUCAGCAACAUAUUUGGUCUUUGUCCUGCGGCGUCUUUACCCUAAUUCUCAUUAUUACAGUUGGAUCUUAGGCCAGGCACUUGUAUCUGCCUGAGGAUAAUUACUGGGCUUUGAGGGUAUUUUUUGCAGUGUCCGUGCUACUGCCAACUCCAUCUACUUUCAUCAUCAAAAUGUAAGACUUUGGGGGCAAUGCAAUAUUUGAAGAGAAAUAACAUAUAUCAUCAGAACUGACACUAGUCAAGGGUAAACCUUUGAGGAAACAUACUCCUUUAAGGAAACAGAGACACAUACACACCCCACAUUCUUUAUGAGUACAUUCUUUCUAUAUAUCCUCUUUACUACUUUGUAUUUGGGUCAUUUCUUUAUGGACACACAUCUUUCAUACUUCAAAUACCUCAUACGUAAAAAAUAAAAUGUUUAAAAAUCCAAUUAACUUUUUGAACUGCUAUGACUUUUUCCAACCUUUGCUUCGCAUACUUUGUCCCUAGCACUUUAACACUAUCUGCAUAUUUUAUAAAUCAGGAACAUUCCAGCAUAUAAAGAAAAGCUACAAACCUACACAGUUCCUUCAUUUUCAUUUAACAAAUAAUUAUUGAGAAUAUGCUAGGUUUUGGGAAAACACUGGUGAGAAAAUAGUGCCCCACGCUGUUCCUGCUUAGUUCUAUGAUCACAAACAUAAUUUCUUCAUGGACUCAUUGGAUCUUGCAAUUUACUUGCAUUCUCCCAUGCUUCAAUACUGGAAUUUUCAUACAAAUUGAUCAUGGAUGUCCCCUCCAUCCCCCACCCAGCUUUUGGUACUCUGUGUUGUCUCUGGAAAAAAAAGCCUACACUCCAGUUCUGCCCCCGUGGUUAACAUCCCACCUUAAUCAGAUUUUAUUUUUCCCAAAAUAUAUUCAGUAAUCCUUUUAAAAUGGUCCUCCUUAUAUAUAAACAUAUACAAACUGACACUAACAAAGCCACAGGGUCUAUUGAAAGAGCCUAGAUAAUGGCCAAUUAUACAUCUUGUAACUUUUAACAUUCCUCUCCUCAUUCUACUAAUCAUCUUGUGUUCAUUCACUUACCUCUUUUCUUUUAUUUCAUCAUAGAUUCUUUGUCUUUAUGUGUGUGUAUGCAACAUCUAAGUAGGAAUUUAUUUUAUUGCCUUUAUAUUAUUAAUCUGAAAAUAUCCUGGCUCCUUGACCUUCACAAUCUCAAAGCCAUAACAUUUCUGCAAUUUGUGUUUAUUGCUUGACUUUCUGUUUUUUCUUUAGUAUUUUAUAUUCACUAAGAGACCAUGGCAAUGGGUGCACUUUUAUAGAGCUAAAAAUUAAAUGAAUAAAUUACAAAUAAACAUAUCAUUUUCUGUACAUGAGCCCAGAGACUGAGGAAAUGACUACAUUUUCAAAACCAGAAUAUAAAUAAUCAUUUUUAAGUCUGAAUGCAGAGUACUAUUAUGUAAAUUACAUUCUUUAUUUCACUUUAGAAUUUAAAAAGCUCUCCCUCUACGUCUAAAGAAGGCAGCAUAACUGUUACCCCAAAACCAGGGAUAAAAAUGGCCCAUGUUUUCAUUACUCACUCUUAUUAUCAUACUUUCUGGGAAAUGGUUUUGUGGUGUCACUUUCUCUGGUUGUUAUAUCUUCGGCCACAAAACUAUAUUAGAGUUUUAAUGUCUGAUACCAAACAUGGAGGCAGGUAGGAUAACCCCUUGAUUGGGCUGUGACCUUACUGUGGAAAUUCUCACUUGAGGGAUCCCAGCAAAGGCUACUAAGUGGGAUUCAGUAACCAAACAGCCUCCCCUAAAGCAUUGUGGCUUGCUUCUCUCACCUAACGUUACGUUUUACAUAUCUUGCUUCUCUCACUAGACAUGUUACGUUUUACUGUAGAGACAAAGAUUGUAAUGUGAUAUGACACAACAUAAAUACAUCCUUUUAAGAAUGAUGGCAAGAAGAAUUGCAAACCAUCAAGAAGUCUUCCCAAUUUUUGUCAUCAUCACCUGAUGAUGGCACCUUACAAGUUUCUUCCAAAGCUCUUCUUCCUCUGCAAAAUUGUUACAGCUUUUUCCAUUCUUAUUUCAUUCUUGCUUAUAAAAGUAAGAGCUGUAAUUCUUACAUACUUCAUUCUCUCCAUUUUUACUAGAGUUAUGUGUUCACAGGAAACAUAUUUCUGAGGUGGUGCUGAAUAACAAGGUGAAAAUAGUAAACAUUAUAUGGCGUGAACCUCAAUCUUGCAUUGGGAGCAAAAAAAGUGUUUAAAAUUAUGUUUCUUUGUCUUUGCUAUUUCACAGAAUACUGUUGCUUUUUGGGGAAAACACUCCCUAAGGUUUUUUUGCUGUAUCUAUCUUAUAAAUGAUUCCCUUUGAUCAAAAUCUAGUGCAAGCUUGCCUUUCUUUAGAGUCAUAGAGGCAGUGAUUUCAUAUCACAGUAUUUUGACUUUUGACAGCUCAGUAGGAGUAAGGAAAAGGAGGAGGGGAAUUAUCUAAAAGAGGAAAAGGUUGGGGAGAGGAAUUCAAAGUCAGGACAAAGAUGACAGGCAAAGCAUAAGAACAGCUGUACAAAAUGUUACUUGCUCUCUUCCAGAGAUUGGUGUGCUGGGGUGAAUGACAACUACUAAUUAAAAUGGUGGCUUAUUAUCAUGAAAGAAGUGACACAAUUUAUCUAAGAUCUGGAGUAAAAGAUGAAUCACUUUUAUUUGUAAAAAAAUUCUAAUUUAAAAAUAUGCAUUUUUAGAUGAACAUCUAUGGUGUUUUUGACAGGAGAUGUGGUAAUUAAAACCUUUUUUAUUUUGUGUUCAUAUUAUAUUUUUGCUGUGUGCCAAUUUUUACAUUUCUAUAAAUAAGAACAAAGCACAUUUUCUGCAACAUCUCUAAGUUUAUACAGUUUAUAAUUUUUAAGUCCAAGUGUCAAAAUUAGAUACCUAAAUCAUGAUUACAAGUUUAUAUCUUACAUAAAAUGUAUUGGAUAUUA
ensembl:lncRNA